CCUACGGGAGGCUGCAGUAGGGAAUCUUUCACAAUGGGCGAAAGCCUGAUGGAGCAACGCCGCGUGCAGGAUGAAGGCCUUCGGGUUGUAAACUGCUUUUAUAAGCGAGAAAUAUGAUGGUAACUUAUGAAUAAGGAUCGGCUAACUACGUGCCAGCAGCCGCGGUAAUACGGAGGGUGCGAGCGUUAAUCGGAAUUACUGGGCGUAAAGCGCACGUAGGCUGUAUGUCAAGUCAAGGGUGAAAUCCCACGGCUCAACCGUGGAACUGCCUUUGAAACUGGCAAACUGGAGUAUGUGAGAGGGUGGCGGAAUUCCUGGUGUAGGAGUGAAAUCCGUAGAUAUCAGGAGGAACAUCAGUGGCGAAGGCGGCCGCCUGGCACAAAACUGACGCUGAGGUGCGAAAGCGUGGGUAGCAAACAGGAUUAGAUACCCUUGUAGUC
rnacentral:rRNA from 1 species